GACGUAGGGCGCGAGCGUUGUCCGGAUUUAUUGGGCGUAAAGAGCUCGUAGGCGGCUUGUCGCGUCGUCCGUGAAAACUUGGGGCUCAACCCCAAGCUUGCGGUCGAUACGGGCAGGCUCGAGUUCGGUAGGGGAGACUGGAAUUCCUGGUGUAGCGGUGAAAUGCGCAGAUAUCAGGAGGAACACCGGUGGCGAAGGCGGCAUCCUGGACCAACACUGACGCUGAGUGAGCGAAAGCCAGGGGAGCAAACGGG
rnacentral:rRNA from 1 species